rnacentral:rRNA from 1 species
AGGUGCAAUCAUACCAGCACUAAUGUACUGGAUCCCAUCAGAACUCCGCUGUUAAGCGUGCUUGGGCGAGAGUAGUACUAGAAUGGGUGACCUCUUGGGAAGUCCUCGUGUUGCACCCC